GGGGAAUUUUGGAUAAUGGGCGCAAGCCUGAUCCAGCAAUGCCGCGUGCAGGACGAAGGCCUUCGGGUUGUAAACUGCUUUUGUACGGAGCGAAACGGCUCUCUCUAAUACAGGGGGCUAAUGACGGUACCGUAAGAAUAAGCACCGGCUAACUACGUGCCAGCAGCCGCGGUAAUACGUAGGGUGCGAGCGUUAAUCGGAAUUACUGGGCGUAAAGCGUGCGCAGGCGGUUUUGUAAGACAGAUGUGAAAACCCCGGGCUCAACCUGGGAACUGCAUUUGUGACUGCAAGGCUAGAGUACGGCAGAGGGGGAUGGAAUUCCGCGUGUAGCAGUGAAAUGCGUAGAUAUGCGGAGGAACACCGAUGGCGAAGGCAAUCCCCUGGGCCUGUACUGACGCUCAUGCACGAAAGCGUGGGGAGCAAAC
rnacentral:rRNA from 1 species